AGUAUAAGUGUGCAAUCAUGACUAACUCAUAUACGUCAGGUCAAAGUGCAGCCUAUGUAGUGGAGAUGAUGGGUUACACCCUAAACAAAGACACCAAUUAAUACAUUAAAAGUAAUAUGAAGGUGGACUUGGACGUAAUUUUAAUUCUAUGUUAUAAUGAACAUGAAUCUAAGACAUGCACACAUCGCCCGUCACUCUCGCCCAAAGGUGAGAUAAGUCGUAACAAAGUAGGUGUAACGGAAGUUGCACCUGU
rnacentral:rRNA from 1 species